rnacentral:lncRNA from 1 species
UACCACGCGGCCCUUCAGUGGCUGUGGUGGCCGGAAGUUGUUCACCAUGUGGAUCCUCUCAUCGUCCUCCGAGAUGAGAAAAGCAAAGCUCAAGAGAGGAUGAGUGAUGGGCUCGAAGAUGCACAGUGAGUGACUGAACAAAGAUGAAAACCCAGGGCUGCUGGGUCCCUCGUUCAAUAUUGUCCAAAAUCACUGGAAAGGGAGGAAGCGGAUUUUAAAUUUGACUCUCAUUUGUGUGUGUAUGCAAGUCCUCUCUAAAAGGACUUAGGAGAAGCUAGGGAGAGUGUUUACCUACAGGGAGGAGACUGGACACCGGAAGGUUGUGGAAGGUUGUGGAAGGGUGUGGUAUGGCGUGGGAAGGACACUCUUUACUGGUACUCCUUUGUAUCUCUUGAAUGAAUUAAGGCAUGUAUUACCUCUUUAACAACCAAAUAAAAGUUGAUCCAGUUCUUUCCUUCCUGCAGCCUGUCUUCAGCAUUUUCUCUGGGUACUGGGAACUCAGGAAAGUGAGAGGAGACAAUGGAGACUGCCCUUCUAAGGUGAAGCGCCAGCUGCCCCAGCAACCCACUCAGGUCAACUUGGGGGAGCCUGUGCCUCCAUUCAGGUGCCUCCAGUCUCAAUUACAUGCUGUUUUUAAAGCCGAGUUGAUUUCUCUGCUUGAGAGUUUUCUCUUUGGUCUCACUGGUGUCAGUGGCUCCUGGUUUUUGCUAUUUAUAUGGGAGGGGAAAAUGGGGGAUGUGAGGGCUGUGAUGGAGGCCUGGGGGAGGAAGGC